CCACCCCAGCCUAGAACCUCAGAGUGGUCAGUGGGCCAGAGGCACUGCCUGGGGGGGAGUUGCCAUAGGGACCAGAGCAGAUAAAACCAAGGGCAUAUGUUUGCCACAUGUCACAGCCCUGCCAUGUGGACGUGUGAGAGCUUCCACAAGAUUCCAGUGCUAGAGAAAUUUAUGCUUAUGUGGUGUGCCUCACGGUAAUACUGGAAGUCUCCUGUAUCUACAUGCACUGUAUGGACUGCAUGUGAACAGUUUGUUGGUACAGAUUCCUGACAAGUCUACUUAGAGAAAACUGACUAAAGGGAAAUCAGCACUGCCUUCCAUCUGCGAGUCAAAAUUAUUCUGAAAAUGGACUGUGGAAUUAGG